rnacentral:rRNA from 1 species
GCGGCAGGCCUAACACAUGCAAGUCGAGCGGUAGAGAGAAGCUUGCUUCUCUUGAGAGCGGCGGACGGGUGAGUAAUGCCUAGGAAUCUGCCUGGUAGUGGGGGAUAACGUUCGGAAACGGACGCUAAUACCGCAUACGUCCUACGGGAGAAAGCAGGGGACCUUCGGGCCUUGCGCUAUCAGAUGAGCCUAGGUCGGAUUAGCUAGUUGGUGAGGUAAUGGCUCACCAAGGCGACGAUCCGUAACUGGUCUGAGAGGAUGAUCAGUCACACUGGAACUGAGACACGGUCCAGACUCCUACGGGAGGCAGCAGUGGGGAAUAUUGGACAAUGGGCGAAAGCCUGAUCCAGCCAUGCCGCGUGUGUGAAGAAGGUCUUCGGAUUGUAAAGCACUUUAAGUUGGGAGGAAGGGCAGUUACCUAAUACGUGAUUGUUUUGACGUUACCGACAGAAUAAGCACCGGCUAACUCUGUGCCAGCAGCCGCGGUAAUACAGAGGGUGCAAGCGUUAAUCGGAAUUACUGGGCGUAAAGCGCGCGUAGGUGGUUAGUUAAGUUGGAUGUGAAAUCCCCGGGCUCAACCUGGGAACUGCAUUCAAAACUGACUGACUAGAGUAUGGUAGAGGGUGGUGGAAUUUCCUGUGUAGCGGUGAAAUGCGUAGAUAUAGGAAGGAACACCAGUGGCGAAGGCGACCACCUGGA